AAAUGAAAAAUCUCAGAGAUUCCUACGGACGUGGAAAUCCACAACCAACAUGUACUUCCGAGCUCGCUAGCAUCUAUAAUGUGGAGGUUUGCAAUCGGCUCCCCUUGUCGUAAAGUAAGAAGCAGGACUUUUGUAUUUAUGGAAUAUUGCGGAGGACACGGUACUGCG